GGCUGCUCUGGGCAAGGGGCAGGAGGCUUCUUCACAGGAGACACAGCUGCCCUGAGAGUCCCAGCCUGCUUAGCAACUACCUUAAAGGAGCAGAAGGGCUCCCAGAACAAACAGGGAGUGGUUUCCUGGGGCUGCAAGCCAGGAGUCCGUCUUCCCAGAACAAAUAUGAGAUAACUGAAAUAUAAGUCUCUAAAAAGGAUGGUCCUUAUGGAAAUUGUUCACCGUUCUGUCUCCAGAACCCAGAACAAGGCCUGGUGCAUGGGCCCGAGUUACUUGGAGGAGAGGCAGAUGGCUGUGGGCUAAUUCCUGAAGUGCACUUCUGGGGACCAUCAGCCUGGUUCCCAGGCUGACAUUCCACACGGGCUACAGGUCUCCUCUGAAAAUUAUUAAUUCUUCCCAAGGGAUAGUGGACAGCAUUAGGCACACUGGAAAAAGGCAGUUGGAUCCGUCAUGCUGAGAAGCCUGGAUUGACAGUGAGCGAAAGGAGGGUCUAAUGACUGAAUAAUCAAAGGGAUGUCUGCACCAGAGUGUCUGCCUGCAAGGCAGUCCCAGCAGUUGGUUCUUGGGGACCUGGCUGGGGAGCCUCGAGCUGUCCUAGGAUGUGUUGCCAGAGACAGCAGGGCAGAUGGGAAUGGGGCCUGAGAGCAGAAGUCACCCAGCCUGGGCGCCACUCCAUGCGGAGCAUCCCACACCGCCUUGGCUUCCAAAUGGGACUGGCUGUUAUUUCCAGAAGUGGUGGAGGUGGUGGAGAAAGGCUGGUCCCUGCUGUACUUCUGAGGGCAAGCUGCGUGACGCUGGAGGCAGGCGUGCCAAGCCCUUCCCCCUCACCGCUGCCUUUAGGCCGCUGACCUGUGAACCCUGUCCAGGAGGCUUUUUCCUCCUGAAGCAAUAUCAGUUUGUCACUCCAUCCUCUUCUCAUCCUCAGGGCUCUCGUGUAGGGACCUCCGUGUUCUCAUAUUCCCCUAGGACAAGGACACUAGUCCCAACUGCUAGGCUCUUCCUGGACUCCACCUCCUGCUGUCAUUCCAAGUGACCUCGGUCCCCACUGUGAUGGGCUUACCUCCUCCUCUCUGACCUGCCUGCUCCUCUCCAGUUCAGCCAUACCCUGGAUGCCUCAAAAUCGCCCCAUGUCUGAAAUAAUAAACUGGGACACGCCCUUUCUGAACACCACUGCCUUCAUUCCACCUCGUUCACCGCCUUCACUCCCAGGAGCACUGCUCCUAGCUUAUCUGCUCUGUCCUCAUGCCCUUGUGGAUCAUGUGUUAGGUCUGUGGACCCCACACCAUUCCUCUAGCUUGAUCUGAAUCCUCUGAAAUAUUCAACACUGCCUCUCCCUUUCUAACGCCCAUACUCACUGAGACACCAAGGGCUUUAUUUUCUGCCACAGCAUCUCAGGAGUCUGUCUCCAAUCUCCAUCCUCACUGCCAGGCUCUUCCCUGGUUUGAGCCAUUAUGACAUCUCUCUCUGGUCUCUAGCUCUGACCUUUCUCUGUCCUUCACACCUAUUCCAGGCCUCCAUGCUCUGCAUGCUCCAGUCAUGGGGUCCAUGCCCCACUUCCCGCAGGUCAGUGAUUUUCAUGUCAUUUCUUUCCUCAUUUCCUCCUAGGUAAAAUUUGCUGCUCCUUGCUCUGUGCAUUUUAUUUGUUCCUGUGCCCCUCUGCCUUGUGUCCCAAAUGGUUGGUUAUAUGUCUGCAUCUUCUACUAGAAGGUA